UGCAUCCGAGGGAAGUUGACUAGGUUAUUGUUUUUGUCCUUGGUAGAGCGGAUGAGGUUAAAGUCACCUCGGCUCUCCGUGGCUGACUUACGGCCCUCCGUGGCUAAGAUGCACCAUCGCGUUGAGCUGUGGCAGGGCAGGUGGCUAUCUAAGGCGGCACAGACGGUCCUCAUCAACUCAUCCCUCUCCAGCUUGCUUCUGUUCAUCAUGAGUUUCUAUAGCCUCCACGAGACCCUCCAUCAUGAGAUCACCAAAUAUCAGGCGCGCUUCUUCUGGGCUGGCGAGGGCGAUAAGCAAAAAUACCAUAUGGUUAGUUGGUCGUACAUUUGCAAACCACGUGACCAGGGCGGGCUAGGGAUCAUGUCGUCUAAACGCAUGACCAUUGCCCCGCUGACACGCUGGUUGUGGUGGAUUGAGAACGGGGAAGGCAGCCUUUGGCUUGACAUCAUCCGGAACAAAUACCUUCGUGGACAACCGCUCGCCUUCUAUCAACGGUCUGGCGGCUCGCAGUUCUGGCAGUCCAUCAUUCAGCUGCUCCCGGUCCUCCUUAUUGGAACCUCCAUCGAUGUA
rnacentral:rRNA from 1 species